UACAGAGGGGGCAAGCGUUGUUCGGAAUUACUGGGCGUAAAGGGCGCGUAGGCGGCCUGUUAAGUCGGACGUGAAAUCCCUCGGCUCAACCGGGGAACUGCGUCCGAUACUGGCGGGCUUGAAUUCGGGAGAGGGAUGCAGAAUUCCAGGUGUAGCGGUGAAAUGCGUAGAUAUCUGGAGGAAUACCGGUGGCAAAGGCGGCAUCCUGGACCGACAUUGACGCUGAUGAGCGAAAGCUAGGGGAGCAAACGGG
rnacentral:rRNA from 1 species